UGACGUGGGGGAAAUAGGAAAAUCUCCGUGGUCCUUCGUAGCCCUGGGUCCACUGUGUGGCGGUCAUUGCGGACAGCGUGGGAGCCCCGCCCUUCAGUGUAAUGCUGUGGUUUGCAGCAGGGGACCCCAAUCCCCAGGCCGCGGACCAGUACCGGUUCCGUGGCCUGUUAGGAACCGGGUCUCACAGCAGGAAGUGAGUGGCGGGUGAGCCAGCGAAGCUCCCUCUGUACCUGCAGCCGCUCCCAGCGCCGGCAUCACCGCCUCGGCUCCGCCUCAGAUCAUCAAGCGUUAGAGUCUCAUAGGAGCACCGGGCCCUGGUGCCAACAAGGUCGGGGACCGCUGGUUUACAGCUUUGCGGGUUAUAAAAUCCUUUAUGAGCAAAUGAGAGUGUGCUGCGUGUGUCUGGCUGUCCCCGUCCGCCUGGACACCUGUUCAUAUGGGAUGGCGCUUGUCAGUGUGGUCGGUCGUUACGUGAUGUGACUGUCCCUGGGACCUGCCCCAGGAAGCUGUCAAUCCCCCGAGAGCAGGGCCGAGUUCUUUCACAGCGCCGCGUUCCUGGUCCCAGCACAGUGCUGGGCGCUGAGAAGUCACUCAGCGUCUGCUGCGUGACUGUUUACACACAGAACCUGCAGGCCGCUGGCUGGCCUGACACCGCAGCACCAACACCUCGCUCAGAAAGCCCGGAACAGGUGUUGCCCAUCCGUGGUCAGACAAGGCCUCUUUCAUGUGGCGAGUCGGGGCCCAGGGCUAGCACCUGGGCUGGUGACACCCCCACACCCUCCCACACCCCCACCCGCGUGAGCUCGCUCUCCAGGCUGCAGUGGUGUCUGCACCGGGCCUGCGGGAGGGUCAGUGGGGGCGUGUUAGUGGGCAGGCCCGGAAGUGGCAGGUCUCACUCCGCUCACAUGCUGGUGACUGGAGCUCGGUCCACGGCCACUCCAAGGGAGGACCAGGCCACGUGCCCCGGAAGGAGGAGAAGUGCUUUGGUGAACAGCUAGCUGAUCUCUGCCACAUUUAGGGCCAGUCAGCAAACUGUAGCCUGUGGGCCAAAUCCCGCCAGACUUUAGUUUUUAUAUAAAGUUUUAUUGGCACACAGCCACGUUUACAUGCUGUCUGGGUGCCUAGUUGCGACAGAGAGCAUGUGGCCCCCAAACCUAAAACAUUUACAGGAACAGCGUGUACACCGCUGAUCUAGACCAUCCACCUUCUUCCCCAUCCGUGCAUUUUACCGAGACGAAUCAGCACCUUCUCGUUCCUGGUCCUCUCUGUGCAGAGCCCCUGUAUUUCUCAGCGUGUUCUGUUCGAUCUUGGGUGUUUCAUGUAUUUGUUUUGGGGAUGGUUAAUAUGAGUGAGAUCUUCGUUUCUUAUCAUUUUGUAUUCUAAAAGGUCAGCACUUACACGGAGGAAAGGUGGUUCUGUCUGUGCGUGUUUGUUCUUUUUUUGGUACGAGCUUCAUACUACUAAUUGGUUUUUUUAAUGUUACAUUUUGAAAAAAUUUCCAGCUUCCAAGAAAGUUACAGGACUAGCACAAAUAAUUCCUAUACGUCUUCUGCCCAGAUUCAUCCGUUUUUGACAUUCUGCCACGUUCGCUCUAGUAUUUCCUGUCUCUCUUCCUCUCUCUCUACAUAUAUAUAAACGUUAUUUGAGAAGGAUUUAUGUAGAUCUGAUCCUUUUUCCUUAAUGCCACAAUAUGUAUUUCCUAAGAAAAAUGGUAUUUUUCCAUAAGCAGAGCCUUUUUAAAAAAUUUUUUAUAAGAUUUUCUUUGAGCCAAACUGAUGACCUUGCCAGGAAGCCAGAUCACAGAUGCUGUCGAUAGCCUCAGCCUCGCUAUUAAAUCGAAGGAGUCCAGCAUCACUGCGAUGCGCUGGCCUAGCCCGGAGCCCGAUUUGUCAGUCGUCCCGAUCCAUCUUUGCAGAAUCCCAGCCCCGGCCGAGUCCUGUCCAGGUGGACGGAGCCUUGCGUCCCGCCGGCCUGGCAUCUUUGUCGCCUGACCCUGGAGCAGACCCUCAGCCUUUCUCUGUCUUGAUUGACCUUGGCAUUUUUAAAAGAAAACAAUACAGUUAUUUUAUCAAUGUCUCUCAAUUUGGGUGGUGUCCUUGAUGCAGAUAGUGUGGGUCACUUGUUCUGGGCGGGCGUCUGGGCCUCUCCACCGAGUCGUUACUGUUUUUCCUCUGUAACUAACAAGCAAUUUUUGAAAUUCAGUACUGGAAUAAAAUGUUAACUGUGUAUCCAGUCACAUUGACUGCUUCUAGUAACAGUUUUUCAUUCACUUUUCACGUGUGUUUUCUAGGUCAUCAUCUUCAUCUGCGUGACGGUUACUUUGUCUCUUUUUUGUUGUUGUCUCGUGGAAUUGCCUAGAACCUCCAAGUAACACUGAAUAAAUACCAUGAUGGGGGCUUCUUUCUUCCCUCUGGCCCUGCCAGGAAUGCUCACGAGGCAUUUCAGAGCAAAUACAGCUCGCCGCGUAAAAGCCACUCUCUUAAGGGAACCUUCCAGAUGCCUCUCCGGGGCGAGGUCCCGUGGGCAGCACCCCGGCGCCCAGGGCUCCACGUCCUGCCGUCUCGGUGUUCCUUAGUGGUUGGUAGUUUGCUUAUCUGAUGCACCGAGUAUCGUGGGGGCAGGACUGUGCUUUGCUGGUUGUCUUCCUGGAACCACAGUACCUGCCAGCACGCUUGGCACACAGCACUAGGGCACUUCGUGCAUUGUUGGCAAAACGCAUCAAGAAACAAAUAGGACAGAUCUGAAUGCAAAACCAGUGUGGCCAAAGAAAGUGAUAGCAGGCCAUCAUAGUGGUUCAGCUUUUGAAAGGUCUGGCUGCAUCACCCCGCGGCUGGAUGCCCUUGGACAAGUUGACAGAACCUCAGGCUCCUGUCUGUAGACAGAGCCGCUCCUGGGUAAUCGUGAGACAUUAACACACUCACGGCAGUGUGUUACAGUACCCACCUCUGUGCUGGCAUGGAGGCACGCCCGCCGUCUGCCGCGUCAUCGCUGUCGCCGCGUCGGAGAGGGACUGUGUUCACCCCACAGAGCAUCUGGUGUCUGAAGCGAGAUCUGACCCAUUGGUACAGAAGCUGUGGCGGGACCUCGAGCCCAUCACAGUGGAGCGGCGUGGACAGGCCCUCUGCCUUGCAGCGAGGUGCGACCCCUGACCGGGUGUCACAGAGCAGCAUGUUCUUGCAUCGCCAGGAUCCCUCCCGGCUCCUACAGGUGUAUGAUCGGAGUGAAACAUUAAGGUGCACGUUCCGAUUCCCCAGCACGGCCAUCAAGAUCCAGUUCACGGCGCUGUUCCACCAGGAGGAGGCCCCGGCGUCGCCCCUCCGGCCGCUCUACCCGCAGAUCUCCCCGCUGAGGAUCCACAUCCCCGAGCCCGACCUCCGGAGCCUGGUCAGCCCCGUCCCCUCCCCGACCGGCACCAUCAGUGUUCCCAACUCCUGCCCGGCCAGUCCACGCGGAGCUGGGUCCUCUGGCUACCGCUUUGUCCAGAACGUGACCUCGGACCUACAGCUGGCAGCGGAGUUCGCAGCGAAGGCUGCCUCGGAGCAGCAGGCGGACACGUCCGGAGGGGACAGCCCCAAGGACGAGUCGAAGCCGCCGUACUCCUAUGCCCAGCUGAUCGUGCAGGCCAUCUCCUCCGCCCAGGACAGGCAGCUGACACUAAGCGGCAUCUACGCCCACAUCACCAAGCAUUAUCCUUACUACAGGACGGCCGACAAGGGCUGGCAGGUGAGGUCGGCCGACAAGGGCUGGCAGAAUUCCAUCCGACACAACCUCUCCUUGAAUCGUUACUUUAUUAAAGUCCCUCGGUCCCAAGAGGAGCCCGGGAAGGGGUCCUUUUGGCGAAUAGACCCCGCCUCAGAAGCCAAGCUCGUGGAACAGGCCUUCCGGAAGCGGAGGCAGAGGGGCGUCUCCUGCUUCCGCACCCCUUUCGGGCCUCUGUCGUCCAGGAGUGCUCCGGCUUCACCCACUCACCCUGGGCUGAUGUCCCCUCGGUCUAGUGGCCUGCAGACUCCAGAGUGCCUGUCUCGGGAGGGCUCCCCCAUCCCACACGACCCCGACUUUGGGUCGAAGCUGGCGUCUGUCCCCGAGUACCGGUAUUCCCAGAGCGCGCCCGGCUCCCCCGUCAGCGCCCAGCCCGUGGUCAUGGCCGUGCCUCCCCGACCUCCUAGUCUAGUGGCCAAGCCCGUGGCCUACAUGCCAGCCUCCAUAGUGACGGCACAGCAGCCCUCCGGCCACGCAAUCCACGUCGUGCAGCAGGCCCCCCCGGUCACCAUGCUCAGGGUGGUCACCUCCUCCGCCAGCUCCGCCAACGGGUACAUCCUCGCCAGCCAGGCCUCGGCAGGGGGCGCCCACGAAGCGGCAGGCACAGCCGUGUUGGACCUCGGCAGCGAGGCAAGAGGCUUGGAGGAGAAGCCCACCAUCGCCUUCGCCACCAUCCCCACUGCCAGCAGGGUCAUCCAGACGGUGGCCAGCCAGAUGGCCCCCGGGGUCCCUGGACACACGGUCACCAUCCUGCAGCCGGCCACGCCAGUCACCAUCGGGCAGCACCAUCUCCCAGUCCGGGCCGUCACUCAGAACGGAAAGCACUCUGUCCCCACGAACAGUUUAGCCAGCAGCGCUUACGCCCUCACGAGCCCCCUGCAGCUCCUCGCGGCCCAGGCCAGCUCGUCAACACCGGUGGUGGUCACUCGCGUGUGUGAGGUGGGGCCCGAGGAACCAGCAGCCGCCGGAGCAGCAGGAGCCGGCACCGCCACCCCCGUCAGCACCGCCACCCCGGCCAGCACCGCCACCCCCGUCAGCACCGCCCCUUCCACUGGAGAACCCGAGGUCAAAAGGUCCCGGUUGGAGGAGCCCAGUGGGACUGUGCCCAGCGUGAUCACGGCAGCCGGCCCACAGGGGCCGGGGACCGGGGAGUGACGUCGCCCGCGUGGAGGUGGAGUGGGACACACGCCAAAAGGAUUCUGGAGCUGACAGCGCUGCUGCCCAGGCCGUGAUGCGGAAGCUCCACGCUGACCGAAGCACGGCGCCAAACGGGCAGGGCGGCCUCCGUCCACCCGCACCCGGACACACUUGUCCCCCUUGUCAUCUGUGUCCUGCCCCUGCUAUAGUCUAAAACAAAAACACAUAAACGAGUUCAGACAGCUGAUUGUAUGAUUCUGGGGAUUCCUUUGUUUUCAUUUCCUUCUUCCUUGGCACUAUCUUCUCUCCCUGGCCCUUUGGCACAGGCGUCGGGGGAAGGCUGGCUCAGCGUCUCAAGGAACGGCUCCCGGCCACGAGCAGAAGCAAGGCUCCCAGAGCAGCCUUCGCCCCCGGAGGACUGGACAGCAAUGCCGCCUGGCAGACAGGCCUUCUGGGGAAGGGCACGGAUCAGCCCGUUUGUAGUCGGCUGGAAACGGGCCAGAGAAAGGCAAGAACUGUCAGGUUUCAGACUGUCCCGUGACAUCUCCUCCCCAAAACAGUGACACGGAAAGUACCAGGUUGGCAUUAAUCGGUGGGGAGAGGUCUGGCUUGGCUUCGGACCCCAGAUACUUGUUUCGUUGAAACGUGGAAUGCGGCUUCAUCGUAGGUCUGAGGCAGACACAGCAGGGAGUGUCUGUUUCGAGCUUUUCAUCUGCAAAGACAGACGGGGCCGUUGGCCACAGCACGUUGUCAGGUGUUUGCCUGACCCAGUUGGUCUGGCUUUGACCUUUUCUCUUCCUGACGUUUGAGGUGUUUUGGUGUUCUGUCCAUUUUCAGUGCCGAUGCCGCCACAUGGGAAGAGGUCCGAGGGGAAGGGCGUGGGGGCGGGGACAGAAUGUCAGUCAGUGACAUCCUGCCACGUGGGGAGCUUGUGUCUUUUCAGCUCCUGCGGACUGAGGAUAGGGGAGGAGGGCUCAGUGUGGACAGCUCAGACUGCAGGCGGGGCAGAGAGAGGCAGGUGGGUCCCCAGACACUGCAUUCCUGGACAGGUUUUGGUCAUCCGACCGGACAGCCUGCUGGCAUGGCCAGCACUGUCCUCGGUCCAGCAGCCAGAGGUCCAGGAUGGCGGUGCCCCAAGGAGGUGCACACCUGGUUGCCUCAGCUGACCAAGCGAUGGUGUCCCCCGAAACUCGUCGAUGGGAGGAGGAGUGCCAGGCCACAAGUGACUGGCGGGCCCUGGCCCUCAGAGUCUGGUGGCCUGUGACCUACCACGGGGCGGGCUGCCCCCAGCCAGGGUCGGGGAGAGCGAGAGCCAGUCCAUCAUGUCGCUGUGGCCUCGGGGGUCUGAGGACCUGCUCCUCGUCCCAUGAAGAGGGGAGUGGCUUCGCGGCCACAGCUGCCGACGCCAAACGCAGAGCGCUCGCUGUGCGUGGGAAGGUGGUCGCAGAGGUAGCUGUCGGGGAGCAGCCAAGCGUCUCCCACCGAGACCGUGGACGCCUGUCCCCGAGGCCCCGCCGCCGGGACGGUGCCAGCAUCGCCCGUCACGCAGGGGCCGGGGCUCCGGACCCUGCUGUCGCUCGUGCAGCCCCCGCUCACCGAGCUCUCCCGGGCAGCGCCUUCGAGGGGCUGCCCAGACCCCCC